UUCUCCCAAAUCAAGCGCCCCCUUUUUCUCUCUCCUCUCCUCUCUAAACCAAUGACCCAUGCUCCGUCGAGCUACAUCGCCGGCAAGACCACCAUUGUCGCUUCCCUCUUCUCCCCAACCUCCAUUAGCACCAUGACAACCACAUUAGUACCACCCUCACCCUCAAAAUCCGCUCCUCCGUCAAACUCUACUGCUCUGACCAUCUUCAUUGAAAGCACUACGAACCAGCCACUGUCUCCUUUCAAGCCAUGCAGUCGGUGCCCACCGCACCACCGAACCAGCCACUGCUACCUUUCAAGCCAUGUAGUUGACGACCACCGCACCACUGAACUGGUCGUCCCUUCCUAAUUUCCUCUCCUUCGAUAGAGCACAACAAUACCUCUACUGCGCCAUUGAUCCAUUUUUCAUUGGAAAAAUAUGGAUUCUUAAGAAUUCAUCCCUAGGUUUGAUUUUGUAUUUAAUUUUAUGUCCAAAUUUAAAUUAUCUUCGACCCCUUCUUCUUUGUUCCAUUUGAUAGAUUUUUAGAUAUGAAAUGAAUGAAGCUUGGUUAAGAUUUUCUAUUUAAUUUCUUGCAAUUAAUAUUUAUUAAUUUUCUUAGACUAUCAUAUGUUAAAUGCCCCAGCUUUUAUGAACUCUAAUUAACCCUAAUUUUGCCACUAGGGCACUGAUUUUUGGUCAAUCUUAAAUUUCCUGGUCUUUACACGUUAGUGGGAACUUAUUGAAUUAUUAUAAUACUAAUUAGUGGAGGUCAACAUAUUUAGUUGGAGUCCCAUUCUAGAUGCUUAAUUAUGGACCAAUAUGUCAUGUGAUCCCUAUGAUUGUUGUGUUGUUCAUGAUUUGCCUCAAUCCUUUGACAUAAUCAACUCUGAUUUGGGUACGCUCCUUUCUAAAUUAGAUUUGUAACAAUCUUGUGUGUAAUUAUGAUAGUAAUUUAAAAUUUUUGCUCUGUACAAAUUAUUCAGUGGUAUGUGACAAUUUUGGGUAUUUUUUUUUUUUUUUGGCAGUGUUGACAUUGACUCCUCCCAUACUUUAUCCAACUAUGUGACAACUUUUAUACUGAUUAUUUAUGGUAACUCUCGACCUGUUUUGAUUCCUAAUUGAUUCACCACAUUAUUGAAGGAUUCAACCUACACCCUCUAGGGAAGGAAGUUUCCUGAUUCACUCUUUUAAUUUAUUUUUUUUCCUUUGACUGGUGCACUACAUUUUUUAAUAUAAACAAUACCCUUUUCUCAUUAUUAAAACAGAGUUUGAAUCACACUAUUACAAACUUUUAUUCUCUUACUCUUAAAGAGUUAACAACAUUACUCUCUUCUAUACUUACAAAAUAUUUCUUUACAUUGGUCUUGGGGCUGCUUCGGUUAUUAACUAUUACCAC
rnacentral:lncRNA from 1 species